rnacentral:lncRNA from 1 species
CCGGAAUGUGGGUGGCUAUAAUGGCAGCCUGUAGGUUUGUAUGGAAAACAAGUAUGGCACUGUGAAAAAAUUCUUCUCUCACCCUACAGAUACCUGUACGGAGAGCUUGGGAGGCAUUUCCAUAGGCUCAUUGUCAAGUGAGUACUAAAGUCCCCAUUCAUUGGCAAGCAAAGGUAAGUCUGAAAACCGCACUGAAGAAAAAGGGGAAAGGGUGGGGAGUAGGGUGGAAUCACCUAGCAUCGCUGCAGCCUAACCAAGUGACAGACAGUUAGACAACUCCGAUGCUGCCAGAACAACACUCUGCACAGCCCACCAGCAAGCAAUUUGUCACAGCGACAAGAAUAUCCUCCGCAAUUUGGCACCAGGGUCCUUGGACAGCCAACUGCGCCUGUACAGCACGAGACGUGCUAUUCAGCAACAGGGAAGAUGGGAACCAAGAACACAUUAUGAAGUGCACACCCAGAAGUUUGCACACAGAAGCGUGUGGACUCACAGAGCACUUGAAGGAAGACUAA